CCGGGCCGGUAACCAUUGUAGAGACUGGAGUCGGCCGUACAGUACUUUGCAGGAGUUUGAGGUCGGGAUUUCCAGGGUGCGUCAUUUCCGUGCUGGCCGCGGCGAGAACUAGAAAGAAAGGGAGAGGGAGAAAAACAUCAAUAAUCAGUGACUUCAUCCCAACUAAACCUGCAACCUGGGAACUUUUCGGUGUCCAGCAUGAUGCUUCAACCAACUGAGCCACACCAGUCAAGCUUCUUGGGACACUUCUUCCCGGACCAGCCAUCAUACUGUGUGAAGCCAUAUGGAGAAGCCACAUGAGGUGCUCUGGUCAACAACCACAGCUGACCUCCAGCUGACUAUCAAUUCUCAGCCAUGUGGUUGUAGAUGGCUGUCAAGAGACAUAGCUCUGGCCCUAACCGGUUUGGCUCAGUGGAUAGAGCAUCGGCCUGCGGACUGAAAGGACCCAGGUUUGAUUCCGGCCAAGGGCAUGUAUCUUGGUUGUGGGCACAUCCCCAGUAGGAGGUGUGCAAGAGGCAGCUGAUGGAUGUUUCUAACUCUCUAUCCCUCUC